rnacentral:lncRNA from 1 species
AUUUUAUUUGUCUAUUUAUUUACCAUAUAAAAGCCAUGACCAUUUCACAGGACACCACUGAAAGGCAUGAGAACGUAAGAAGCUUGAGAGGUUAGUUUAGGGGGCACAUAUUUUCCAUGUAAUCAGAUUCAGAUAUUUCAAUACUAUUAGGUAAGUGUUAUGUAAAGAGGAUGGGAGGUUCAUCUGGGAGUCAGGCCAAGGUUUGCAGUAUCACUUCUAGCAGAGGACAAAUAGGAAAAAAUAAAAUAAAAAAAUAAAAAGCCCUGGGUCAGAAUGGCAGGCAAUCAGCCGCCUGAGACGAUGGGCCUUAUUGCAGUCUAACUAUCAGAAAUCAGCAACUCUCCUACUAAAGGAAGGUUUCCAGUAUCUGACCCUAGUCAGAAGGAAACAGUUGUUCAGAUUUUACUCAAAAUUUGAGGUUUCGAGCACAGUCCUGUAGACUGAGAGAAAAGGGAGCAGGUGAAUCAACAGAAGUUGGAAUUGAUUUCUGUGGAAAAGACUGAGCUUGUUCUAUGUGUGUGGAGUUGUGUUCAGCCACUGGUAAAUCAUUCAAGUGAGGUGACACUGGGUGAUCGAAUUCGGUUGAUGCAACUAUCCAUCCUAAAGUGUCAUCUCUCACUACCAUGGGCACUGCAAUUCCCCACAAGCACUUUGGAAGAAAACAGGCAAAGUCAACCUAAAAUUGGCUCUAGAAUUUUGGCUAGGGGUUCUUUUAAAAAGGGGCACAAUCUUAGCAUUUAAUUAGUUAAUUUUUAAUGUAAUUUCAAACAAUUAGAUUAUGAGCCAAGGAUGGUAAACAAUGCAAGAUUGCGGUGUUUGUUGUACUUUGUAUAUUCUUUAUUUUUGACCCACCGCGCGCGACCCAUCACCACACCGACAAAGUGGUUCCUCAAAGCAAAACACUGCGGCAGUUCCCGGUAACCAGCAGCCAACCGCCUCCUGGAGCCUAUAGGGGCCUCUCCAGCCGCCACCACCUCAGCCGUCCCUAUGUCCCUCAGGACCUCUUCGAUUCACCUCCUCCGCCGGCCUCCUCUCCGGUGCCCGGGACACUGUCGAGCCUCACCAGCUAGCAACGACCCAUGUAGAGGCCUGGGAGGCUUCUCCUUGGAGAGACUUUGUUCCAAAAAUAGGCGCGUCCGACUUCGUUCCCGUCCGGCUCUGCACCAUCUGACGGUGCCGUUGUAAGACUAGAGUGCGAUCUGUGUUUGAUGACUGCUUUCCGCUUCUGGCUUAAAUUUUCC